rnacentral:rRNA from 1 species
GAUGAACGCUAGCGGCAGGCCUAAUACAUGCAAGUCGAACGGUAACAGUCACCCUCGGGUGAGCUGACGAGUGGCGCACGGGUGCGUAACGCGUAUGCAACCUACCCAUAACAGGGGGAGUAGCCCGUCGGAACGACGGAUUAAUACCCCACUAACGCGAGGGGGCGUCGCAUGAGUCUAUUUGUCUAAAGAAUUUCGGUUAUGGAUGGGCAUGCGUAUCAUUAGCUAGUAGGUAAGGUAAUGGCUUACCUAGGC